rnacentral:lncRNA from 1 species
GGCAUGCAUGAGACCUGAUCUCCUCAUCCUAAAAUGUGAGGCUUGAUCCCUUUUAAAGAAAGAGGCCUAAGACUCCUUCUUAGGAUAGGACUCCACCAUGCCAACAAUUAUUUUUGGGCAUCCCAACACUUGGGCACAAGAGAGAAUUUUCCUGGCCUUCUUAUUGAUGUGUGGUAUGUGAGGCACGCAAGUCCUUUGUUUGGGCUCCCUUAUAGAUAAGAGCCCAAGUGAUGACAAACUCUUAGGCACAUAUGCAUGUCAACUUUUCUUAGGCAUGAGG